AUGUCGUCCCAAGACUCCUACGGUGAGAGCUUUGUCUCUCAUCUCAUUGCCAACCCAAGGAUCUAUGCGGACCUACCCUCUGGUGGCCGAACCACGGAUGAUGAGGAGGAUGUUUACUCGAUGAGAAUCUAUGAUUCAAGCUCGGAGGAGGAGGAUGUCCCUCUACCUCAACCUGGGGAUAUGCACGUGAAGUUCAAGAAAUCUAGUUUCCCUAAGAGAGCUAACCUGUCUAACAAUAAAUCUAUUCCUCCCCGCUUUCGGCAGAAAAGCAAAGGAGAUUUAUGUGACAAGAUCUUGAGGCUGGAAUCGAAGGUCGAUGAUUUAGAGGAGGAAAUUGCUCUUCUAAACUACAAUAUGAAAAAGCUGAAGGCACAACUAUCACCAACAUCCCCAUCGUCACCAUCUGCUUCACCAGCAAAGAAGGCAUAA
rnacentral:rRNA from 1 species